rnacentral:rRNA from 1 species
AACGGCCGCGGUAUUAUAACCGUGCAAAGGUAGCGUAAUCACUUGUCUUCUAAAUAGAGACCUGUAUGAAUGGCUAACUGAGGGCCUAACUGUCUCCUGCGACCAAUCAAUGAAACUGAUCUUCCAGUACAAAAGCUGAAAUAUCCCCAUAAGACGAGAAGACCCUGUGGAGCUUUAAUUCUACCACUAUUAUUAAACAUAGACCUUAAUCAAACAAUAGUAUAAAAUUUUAGUUGGGGCGACUGCGGGGUAAAACUAAACCCCCGUGAAACCAGGGCUAACCCCAUCACACAGGCCCACACGCCAAAUAAACAAUUAAACACAAAACACUGACCCAGUAUAACUGACCACCGAACCAAGUUACCCCAGGGAUAACAGCGCCAUCCCCUUCAAGAGUCCACAUCGCCAAGGGGGCUUACGACCUCGAUGUUGGAUCAGGACCCCCAGGUGGUGUAGCCGCUACCCAAGGCUCGUUUGUUCAACGAAUAAUGUCCUACGUGAUCU